GAAAGUAAGCAAGGGCAGACGGUGGAUGCCUUGGCUCUCGGAGGCGACGAAGGACGUGAUAAGCUGCGAAAAGCCCGGGGGAGGCGCAAAUAGCCCUUGAUCCCGGGAUAUCCGAAUGGGGCAACCCGGCAGGCUGAAGGCCUGCCAUCCCGUAAGGGAGGCGAACGUGGGGAACUGAAACAUCUAAGUACCCAUAGGAGGAGAAAAUAAACAAUGAUUCCGUAAGUAGUGGCGAGCGAACACGGAAGAGCCCAAACCCAUGUCGUCUAGGCGACACGGGGGUUGUAGGACCACGACGUGGCAAGAGGAUGGCAAGUGGAACGCCUUGGAAAGGGCGACCGUAGAGGGUGAUAGUCCCGUACACGACUGCCUGCCGAAGCCUAGUGGCAUCCUGAGUAGCGCGGGGCACGAGAAAUCUUGCGUGAAACAGCGGGGCCCAUCCCGUAAGGCUAAAUACUCCCGAGAGACCGAUAGCGAACCAGUACCGUGAGGGAAAGGUGAAAAGAACCCCGAGCAGGGGAGUGAAAUAGACCCUGAACCCGUCUGCCUACAAGCGGUCGGAGCAUAGCAAUAUGUGACGGCGUGCCUUUUGCAUAAUGAACCUACGAGUUACCUUCCCCGGCAAGGUUAAGUACCUAAGGUACGGAGCCGAAGCGAAAGCGAGUCUGAAGAGGGCGGCCAGUCGGGGGGGGUAGACGCGAAACCGAGUGAUCUACCCUUGGCCAGGUUGAAGGUUGGGUAACACCAACUGGAGGACCGGAUGGGUAAGCGUUGAAAAGCUUUCCAAUGAGCUGAGGGUAGGGGUGAAAGGCUAAUCAAACUCGGAGAUAGCUCGUACUCCCCGAAAUGCAUUUAGGUGCAGCCUCUUUAUAGUAUAUCGUGAGGUAGAGCGACUGAUUGGAUGCGAGGGCUUCACCGCCUAUCAAGUCCAGAUAAACUCCGAAUGCGCGAUAUAUAUUUACAGGGAGUGAGGGCGCGGGUGCUAAGGUCCGUGUCCGAGAGGAGAAGAAUCCAGACCACCGGCUAAGGCCCCCAAAUGAUCGUUGAGUUGAACUAACGAGGUCGGAUCGCAGAGACAGCUAGGAUGUUGGCUUGGAAGCAGCCAUUCAUUUAAAGAGUGCGUAACAGCUCACUAGUCGAGCGAUCUGGCGUGGAUAAUAAUCGGGCAUAAACGAUCUGCCGAAGCCGUGGAUGUCGUAAGACAUGGUAGGGGAGCAUUCCAUGCGGCGUCGAAGAUGAGGGAUGACCCUUGUUGGAGCGCAUGGAAAAGCAAAUGUAGGUAUGAGUAACGAUAAGGGGGGCGAGAAACCCCCCCGCCGAAAGACCAAGGUUUCCUGAUCAACGCUAAUCGGAUCAGGGUGAGUCGGGACCUAAGGCAAAGCCGAACGGCGCCGCCGAUGGAAGAAUGGGUUAAUAUUCCCAUACUGCCUCAUGGAGUGACGUGGAGACGGAGAAGUGACAGUCCUGCCGGCUGACGGAAUAGCCGGUUGAAGGGUGUAGAUAUUGAUUCCCGUAGGCAAAUCCGCGGGGAGAGUCGAACCUGACAGUAUACCGAGUACUUGUACGAGGUAAUAUGGACGUAACCAUGCUCCCAAGAAAAUCCGCUAAACUUAUCCAUGCGGCACCCGUACCGUAAACGGACACACGUGGUCGGGUUGAGAAUACUGAGGCGCUCGAGUGACUCACGGUUAAGGAACUAGGCAAAUUGACCCUGUAACUUCGGGAUAAAGGGUCCUCGUCGUAAGGCGAGGCGCAGAGAAUAGGUCCAGGCAACUGUUUAACAAAAACACAUGGCUAUGCUAAAUGGAAACAUGACGUAUAUAGCCUGACACCUGCCCGGUGCUGGAAGGUUAAGAGGAGAUGUCAUCGCAAGAGAAGCGUUGAAUUGAAGCCCCAGUAAACGGCGGCCGUAACUAUAACGGUCCUAAGGUAGCGAAAUUCCUUGUCGGGUAAGUUC
rnacentral:rRNA from 1 species